rnacentral:piRNA from 1 species
UACCUCAACAAAGGACAGUUCUAUGCCA